rnacentral:rRNA from 1 species
AUUGAACGCUGGCGGCAGGCCUAACACAUGCAAGUCGAGCGCGCGGCGGACGGGUGAGUAAUGUCUGGGAAACUGCCUGAUGGAGGGGGAUAACUCCUGGAAACGGUGUCUCAUACCCCACACCCUCUGAUGUGCCCACAUGGGAUUUGCUAGUAGGUGGGGUAACGGCUCACCUAGGCGACGAUCCCUAGCUGGUCUGAGAGGAUGACAAGCCACACUGGAACUGAGACACGGUCCAGACUCCGACGGGAGGCAGCAGUGGGGAAUAUUGCACAAUGGGCGCAAGCCUGAUGCAGCCAUGCCGCGUGUGUGAAGAAGGCCUUCGGGUUGUAAAGCACUUUCAGCGGGGAGGCGUUACCCGCAGAAGAAGCACCGGCUAACUCCGUGCCAGCAGCCGCGGUAAUAC